CAGACUUCAGAAAGUUCACAUGAGGAUCACUCAGCUGUGUUUUGGACACAUGUUUCCUUUAAUGGCAGCACUGCUCCUGCUUUUGUUGAGUGGAGUCAGAUGUGAAGAGCUCACUGCUCUAAAGCCUGAGGUCUGCGCUUCAGAAGGCUCCUCUGUCUCUCUGGGAUACUCUUAUUACAAAGAACCAACGUACAGUGAUUAUUUCUACUGGUAUCGACAAUAUCCAGGAAAACCUCCAGAAUUCUUGGUUUCACAUUUUGGAACUGGAACUGUAAUAACAGAGAAAAUAACAGGAUUCAAGUUUGACGUGAAAAGUAAAGUCAUAUCUCUGCUGGUGUCGUCUGCUGCAGUGGGAGACUCUGCUGUGUAUUACUGUGCUGUGAGGCCCACAGUGACAGCAAACCCACAGUCUCUGAACAAAAACCUGUGA